UAGGGAAUCUUCGGAAAUGGGGGCAACCCUGACCGAGCAACGCCGCGUGAGUGAAGAAGGUUUUCGGAUCGUAAAGCUCUGUUGUAAGUCAAGAACGGGUGUGAGAGUGGAAAGUUCACACUGUGACGGUAGCUUACCAGAAAGGGACGGCUAACUACGUGCCAGCAGCCGCGGUAAUACGUAGGUCCCGAGCGUUGUCCGGAUUUAUUGGGCGUAAAGCGAGCGCAGGCGGUUUGAUAAGUCUGAAGUUAAAGGCUGUGGCUCAACCAUAGUUCGCUUUGGAAACUGUCAAACUUGAGUGCAGAAGGGGAGAGUGGAAUUCCAUGUGUAGCGGUGAAAUGCGUAGAUAUAUGGAGGAACACCGGUGGCGAAAGCGGCUCUCUGGUCUGUAACUGACGCUGAGGCUCGAAAGCGUGGGGAGCGAACAGGAUUAGAUACCCUGGUAGUCCACGCCGUAAACGAUGAGUGCUAGGUGUUGGAUCCUUUCCGGGAUUCAGUGCCGCAGCUAACGCAUUAAGCACUCCGCCUGGGGAGUACGACCGCAAGGUUGAAAC
rnacentral:rRNA from 1 species